rnacentral:lncRNA from 1 species
UGAACUUGGAAAACGUAACGUCGAAAUGUGGAAACUUAUUUUAACUAUUUCACUUCUCGUGGUGUUGAAUACAGGUAGGUUGAUCAUUACAUGCGCAAGCUUUUGUAUACGGUCAAAGUUGAACCUUUAAGAAUAGAGAGGAUAAAAAUUUAUAACCAAAGAGCUUGUUUUGUCGUUAUCCAUUUGUUUUAAUCUCUUGAACAAAUAACAUAAUCUAAACUAUGCACGAAAGUACGUAUCAUUCCAAUCAGCUUUCUGAAGUAGUGUUUUAAUAACAUUUCAAAGAUUACUUAAAAUAUCAGAAACUACUUCACAAAGACUGCUUUGAAAUUUUCUUUUAAAUUAAUUCUUAUUUUAAUCUCUGCAACUACUAAAACCAACGACAAUUUUCAAAUCUCUGCUUUAAAUUUCAAAUGAUCAUUUUUUUUCAAUCAUUUCAAUGAUCACUGAGAGAACCUCUUUUAGAAUGUUUUACCACUUGCUUUUCGUGUAUCUUUACAUGACUGAUGUGGCAACAUUUAUAUUUAGUAAAUUACUCAUAAUGACAAAAAAAACAAAAAAAAAACAACAAUAUAAAUGUUGCACAAAGCAUACAUAGUUCUUGAAAUCCCUUACUAAAAAAUGAUUUUCAUUUUAAUGGAUGUGAGUUAUAAUGUUUCAAGGACAAGUUCCUGUCGCGACACAAUAUCAUAAAAGUAAUUGUCCAAUCUAAUUGUUUCAUAUUGUAAACAGACUGAAACUCCGACUAAUCAUUAUCUCCAAAUAUAAAUCUUCACUUAAAUGAUGAAAAUAUUUGCUAGGAUGUCAACAGAACUUUUGGUCAACAUUGGUCUUUUAAGCUGUUUUUUUUUUAUCAUGACGAUCUUUGAUUGAUAUCAUUUUAUACAUUACAGAUAAUGAUAGCUUUUAUUGUAUACAGAAAUUUGACAUAUGUAUUGUCGCUCUAAAUAUAACGAUCUGUAUAAUUUUGUAGGUAUCAGCAUGGCCAGAACAUGUAGUAAUUGUCCUGAUAGUGAGCAAGUGAGAUGCUUCGUUAGUCCAUGUCACAAUCAUAAGUGUCCAUGGGGCACAAGAUGCUGGUAAAUAUAUACGGUGGAAUUUGUGAUGGAGAGAGAGAGAGAGAGAGAGAGAGAGAGAGAGAGAGAGAGAGAGAGAGAGAGAGAGAGAAGAGAGAGAGAGAGAGAGAGAGAGAGAGAGGUUUACAUUGUAAUUUCUUUAAAGUGGCUGAACAGCAGGGGACAUUAAUCCCUUGGAAAAGCGUUUUUAGUCGCCCAUUGCAUCUGAUGAUUUUGUUCCGAUUUGGCCUCUGUUGUUUAUAACGCUUUGUUACAUUCAAUUUUUCUAUGGUUCUCACUUGACAUAGCAUCAAACUGUUGAUCACUUGUUUCAGAUAAUUUUCACCUAAUGAAAAAGAAAAAAAAAACCCAACAUUUAAGUAUAUGCUAAAAUUCUCAUUUUCUUAAAAUCAAUCAGACAUCAUUCGAAUUAUUAUUUGAAUUGUUUUUAAAGUUACUUUUAACAUUUACAUAAACGACAGUGUUGGUUUUGUCUGUUUUACCAGCGAUAUAUUUUUUUGUUUUCCAGCGGUUGUUUUUUUUUUUGCGUUUUUUUUUUUUUUUUAUUUUUAUCUAAUUAUGAUUUUUGGAUAUAUACCUUAGCAUGCAUUUGAAAAUCUGUCAUUUAUAAAAUUGAGAAUGGAAAUGGGGAAUGUGCCAAAGAGACAACAACCCGACCAUAGAAAAAAACAACAGCAGAAGGUCACCAACAGGUCUUCAAUUUGUAUAUCUGAUGAUAAGUGGAGCUUAUUAUUAAAAUUUCUAAGCCAGUGAUUUCUGAUUGACCGUACACUACGUAGUUGAUUUUUCGGUUAAUAAGUUUUCUGAGAUCUACUAGCGUUGAUGUAUUGAAUAUAUGUUUUUUCAAACUUGAGUGUUUGGUAGUUUUUCAUUAAAUAACAAAAUUCAAAUCAUUUUUUGAUACUUACUUUUUACAAAUGCAUAAUUAUUUUUUACUGAGAAAUAACUUAUAUAUCGUAAUGAUAAAAAUAAUGUGUACACAUAUGUAUAUAUAUAUGUUUCAAUUUGUAGCGAGUAAUCGAAUUCGAUGACCAAAAUUGUCUGUCUAUUUCCUCAAAUCUUCAGCGGUGCUGUUUUUCAUAUUUCAUUUAUAAAUUUCUUCUGAUUGAUUUUUGUUUUUCCUCUAAAUAACUUUAUUCAGGUAUUAACAGUUAUUGAUGUGUACUUUGUAAUGAAUUUGCGUUGAUCCAAAUCGUUAAUGCCAAUUUAAGGAUUUCUGACCUAUAUACCAUUUUUUUAUUCUAUAUAUCUGAUAUAAGGAGCUAAGUACAUUUGUAUUUGAAUAAACUGACACCAAAAAAUAACAUAUCUGCUUUGUUUUAUUUCAGCGAAAACUACUGUGGAGGAUGUUAUUACAAGUGUAUCUACUAAUGGUAUGUCUUGUGACAUGCCAAUUGAACACAAUUUAUUCUACUGACAAAACUAAUGUUUGAAACCUUUUUUCAAACAUGUUUACGUACAGAAAUAAAGAUUUUUAUCUCCUUAAAUGUCUUUAUUUCUUCUUCUUUCCA